UACGUAGGGCGCAAGCGUUAUCCGGAAUUAUUGGACGUAAAGAGCUCGUAGGCGGUUUGUCGCGUCUGCCGUGAAAGUCCGGGGCUCAACUCCGGAUCUGCGGUGGGUACGGGCAGACUAGAGUGAUGUAGGGGAGACUGGAAUUCCUGGUGUAGCGGUGGAAUGCGCAGAUAUCAGGAGGAACACCGAUGGCGAAGGCAGGUCUCUGGGCCACUACUGACGCUGAGAAGCGAAAGCAUGGGGAGCGAACAGG
rnacentral:rRNA from 1 species